GAUGAACGCUGGCGGCGUGCCUAUUCCAUGCAAGUCGAGCGAACGGACGAGAAGUUUGCUUUUCUGAUUUUAGCGGCGGACGGGUGAUUAACCCGUGGAUACCCUACCUUAAAAACUGGGAUAACUUCGGGAAACCGGAGCUAAUACCGGAUAAUAUUUUGAACCCCAUGGUUCAAAAGUGAAAGACGGUCUUGCUGUCCCUUAUAGAUGGAUCCGCGCUGCAUUAGCUAGUUGGUAAGUUAACGGCUUACCAAGGCAACGAUGCAUAGCCGACCUGAGAGGGUGAGCGGCCACACUGGAACUGAGACACGGUCCAGACUCCUACGGGAGGCAGCAGUAGGGAAUCUUCCGCAAUGGGCGAAAGCCUGACGGAGCAACGCCGCGUGAGUGAUGAAGGUCUUCGGAUCGUAAAACUCUGUUAUUAGGGAAGAACAUAUGUGUAAGUAACUGUGCACAUCUUGACGGUACCUAAUCAGAAAGCCACGGCUAACUACGUG
rnacentral:rRNA from 1 species